rnacentral:lncRNA from 1 species
GGAACAGGUAACCAUGUGGAAAGGGCCUGGAAGGGUAUAAUUUUCUUUCUUAUUUAUUUAUUUAUUGUUUUUUUUUUGGGCACAAGGGUGUAAAAAUGGUUUAAUUGCUUGUUAUUAUAUAGUUAUAGCAUCCGUGAUUUUAUAUGGCCUCCUUUUACGGUAAACUGGUUAAAGCUAAUCCCGGAAGCAAAAUUUGAGAUAAAACUGACAUAAAAGAGCACAUGAAUUAUAUAUGCACAGUUUGGGCAAAAUAAGGAUAGCCACGUUUCUCAAACCUAUCCGAUGCAUAUUGGUCAGUGUUAUAUUUUUCUAUGAAUCAUGUUAAAAUCAACUUGUUCUGUGAUUGAGAGAGAGAGAGAGAGAGAGAGGGAGGGAGAGUCUGUGUGUGUGUGUGUAUUUUUUAUAUUUUCUUGCAGGUUCUCAUUCUAGAAAAGAUGGACGAUCAACUUAUGGAUUCAUAUGUGACCGUCUUAAAAUUGUCCUGUAUAUUGAAAACGGCCGCAUUGUUCUUUGGUGGCUCCGGUGGAUGAGAUGCUCCUAGGGAAGUUGCUGAGUGAGAUCACGAACGGUGGA